rnacentral:lncRNA from 1 species
UGGAACAAUGUGACGACAGACUCAUACCAGUUAAGAGAAAGAAGACGAAAUGAGAUGCAAAAAGCCCGUCCGAGGUUCCUGCCUCUAAUAAUGAAGAAAAAUUUGGAUGGAUUUAAAGAUAAAAAAGAAAGAAAUGUGGGAAUUAAUGUCAAAAUUUGUAGCGUUAAUUGUCAAAUCUUACAUACAAAUGCAUCGACAAACACUCUUGCACAUAUGCAAAAUUUCGAAGGAAUUCACAACCCUGGAUUUAUUAGAAAUCACGAAAAAGAGAUAUAUUGGUUAUCACUUAAAAUUUCAGAGGUAUACGAUGAAUAAUUAAUGAAGACAGUCAAGAUCUGAAAUCGGCAUUUCUUUCAGAUGUUUGUUUACUUUUUUACCUAGAUGACAACAUAACCUCAAACCUCCUUCAGUUCCUCACCCUCUGCCAUGGGCUAUCAGACAAUUGUAUCAGACCAUUUUUCAAAUUGUUCUCAUUCCGCUAAUCAAGGAUUGAUAAAUUAACAUGGAAAUCCUGUGAUGAUUUUCAGACGAAAUUUCCAGUUCUUCAAGUAUUGAUCAUAGUUUUCUAUCAAACAUGAGUUCAUCACGCAGUUCUUCCCCAUCAAAAACAGUCCGAAUCAGCUACACAGAUUCAACAAACGAUCUCCAAAUUCAUCCUGAAAAUAACAUCUACAAGCUUAAUCCUGAUACAUUAAGUCGACUGAUCAUAGGUAAAAAGUUGAAGGAUUUAAUUGUGCACAGUCGGCAAGACGUGUCCGUACCAUGGUCAGAUGUUGCAUCAAGCAGCUCAGAAGACUCAGCUGAUGAAAGUGAACAGAGAUCAUCCUCUCACCCAGAACAGAACGGUUCACAGACUUCAGAUAAUCCAGAAUCCUCUUCAAUACCGAAGAAAGUUGCUCAGAUGAUGAAGGGAAUUCUAGCAAAGCUGUGCUAAAUCACUCAAGAAGCAAUCCUGAAGCAGUUAGUCCCAGCACUCCUCUGGCUAAUAUUUGGUUUUUCCUUUAAAGAUGGAGCAAAAGACAUUUGAUGACAGCAAUUGGAUAAAAUGUGUGGGUAAGUAAUCAUAACGUUUAAAUGCUCAGUUAUAUGCUCAUCUUUCCCCAUGUCCACAAGUUUUUCCGUGUCUGAAGAAGGCCAACUGUCAGAUGAAACCAUCCGUAUUCACGACCUAAGUCCAUUCUGUUGUACUUGAUGCAUCCUGAACUUUUAAAUUUAAGUUUCCCAAAACUCUUUCUUACCAAAGUUGGAUUUUUCAUAUCUAA